rnacentral:rRNA from 1 species
GCAGCCGCGGUAAUACGUAGGUGGCAAGCGUUAUCCGGAUUUAUUGGGCGUAAAGCGAGCGCAGGCGGUUUUUUAAGUCUGAUGUGAAAGCCUUCGGCUCAACCGAAGAAGUGCAUCGGAAGCUGGGAAACUUGAGUGCAGAAGAGGACAGUGGAACUCCAUGUGUAGCGGUGAAAUGCGUAGAUAUAUGGAAGAACACCAGUGGCGAAGGCGGCUGUCUGGUCUGUA